GCCUCAUUAGCUCAGUUGGUAGAGCGCAUGCUUGGUAAGCAUGAGGUCUCGGGUUCAAUCCCCGAAUGAGGCU
rnacentral:tRNA from 4 species